rnacentral:misc_RNA from 1 species
GAUGAAGAACGUAGCGAAAUGCGAUAAGUAAUGUGAAUUGCAGAAUCCAGUGAAUCAUCGAAUCUUUGAACGCACAUUGCGCCCGCCAGUAUUCUGGCGGGCAUGCCUGUUCGAGCGUCAUUACAACCCUCAGGCCCCCGGGCCUGGCGUUGGGGAUCGGCGGAGCCCCCCGUGGGCACACGCCGUCCCCCAAAUACAGUGGCGGUCCCGCCGCAGCUUCCAUCGCGUAGUAGCUAACACCUCGCGACUGGAGAGCGGCGCGGCCACGCCGUAAAACACCCAACUCUUCUGAAGUUGACCUCGAAUCAGGUAGGAAUACCCGCUGAACUUAAGCAUAUCAAUAAGCGGAGGA